UACAGAGGUCCCAAGCGUUGUUCGGAUUCACUGGGCGUAAAGGGUGCGCAGGUGGGUUUGCAAGUUCGAUGUGAAAGCCCAGGGCUCAACCCUGGAAGUGCACUCGAUACUGCGAGGCUAGAGUCCCGGAGAGGAUGGUGGAACUCUCGGUGUAGAGGUGAAAUUCGUAGAUAUCGAGAAGAACACCGGUGGCGAAGGCGGCCAUCUGGACGGUGACUGACGCUGAGACGCGAAAGCGUGGGGAGCAAACAGG
rnacentral:rRNA from 1 species